UUUGUGGCCAAAACUUCAGAGCCACAAAAAAGGUUUGUCUGUCCGGGUGGAGUACUACGGUCCCUCUCUUACCACUUUUUCGCUACAAUUUUCAUUUGUACGCCACGGCCUCGUAAAUCAUGCGCUGACAUGGCUAGCAAAAUUGUCGCUGCAGUUCAUAAUAAAAAGAUAAGAAAAGCGGCAAACGGUCGGCAAAAACAGCGGGAAAUUCAGCAUUGCAGCAUUGGAAUUUCAACUCAGAAAUGUCAUGGGGCAUAAAAGGGGUAAAUAAAAUUAAUAAACUCCACCGAAGACAAGUGGCCAGAUGAAGAAUUAUGCGGGGAAUUUCGUAAGUAAUUGAGUUUUGAACUGGGAUAAAUGCUAAGAAAUGUGGUUAGUGCUGAGUUCAAGUUGUCAGUAGGGUUUUUUUGUAGAAAAAUUAUGAAAUUUACGGGAUAUUAUUGAAGUUAAAUCUAAAUUUGUUUAGCUAAAGUAGUUGGAGUACUGAAUAACGUUAGCGGAAAGAAGUGAGUCUUCCUAUGACUAAUUUAUAACUGAAAACCUUUGAAUAAAGCACUUGAAAUAUUGUUCAUAAUUUGCUUACCAAAAACUUAGUAUUCUGACCAAAACAAUAUGUCAGAUAAUGGUCAUCAUACAGAAUGCAAUAAAUAUAUCAUUGAUUUCGUAAUUAAAUUUUCAACCGACUAGUGUUCACACCUCAAAAUGUCAAAAUUUUGGUAAUUUUUCGAAAAAAAAUUGUCGAACCAAGUUUAGCAUUUUCAGAAAGGGGUUACUUUCAGAAAAUUCUAAAUUUGGUUUGCCCCAAUCUCUUUCCAAAAGUCAGUAUUUUGAUCAUAACACAGCGAAUAAUGGUCGGAAUAUGGAAUGUGAUAUCUCGCUGAGAUCGUAAUUAAAUUUUUAAAAGAACUUCUUUCAUACCUAAAAAUGUCAGAUUUUAUGCACUUUUUGGAAAAAUUGAUGAUGUAACCUCUUAUUAAAAAUGCCAAAAUCGCCAAAAAAAAAAAUUAGUUUCCAAAAUCAGUGAAAGAAUGAUAAAAAAUCCUUAACUUUUAUUAUGCAUUGCGACACGAGGCGGCAUGUUGAGCUUGUACUCCCAGACAUUGGCCUGGCUUUAUCCUGUUGGCGGAGCCGCUGGUGCGAAGUCCGCACUAAUUAAUCCCUUUACGACUGAAACCUAUCAAAACACAAGCUUAACUUUUCCAAUAAAAAUAACGACGACACCGCCACAAAAACCAAAAAAAAAGAGAAAUAGCAAAAACAAAGAAAAAACAACGAGAUGCGACCGGGAAAACCGCAAAAAGCAGAAAGCAUAAGGAAUCUACUAACUUCCUAUGACCAAGAGCUAGGAAUGCACUGCGAAAAAUAUGUGGCUGACACUGAGAUGCCGAAAGAGCAACCAGCUCGCUAGUCCCUCUCCAGCGGCGACAGCAGCGACUACAACUCCCCGUCCGUGUGUCCGCGUGUCCUUGUGUCCUUUCCUGGCUCAAAAUGCAGCAAAAGUUGGCGCACUAAUUACCAAGGAUUAGUUUCAUAUUUGUUUGUCAACAGCGGCCAACGCGGCCAAAGCGGAGAAGGAGUAGCAGCAGGGCCAUGGGCAGGAGCAUUAGCUGGUUCCUUGCAACUCGAGCAGCCAACAGCUGCUGGUGGCUAAAACGAAAGCCGUUGGAGAUAUCGGAGAGGAGAGAGGGUAAACCCAGAGCUACCGGCGAGUGUCCUGUCCGACAAGUUGGCAAGAUUAUUUAUGAGCACGGCUUGGGCCAAGUAGCGAAAGAAAAUCAUGGCACAAAGAGUGAGAGGGCAACGUUUAGCUGGCUCCGUAUUCAUAAUGAAAUUAAGUCGAUUGAAUGCGCUGAUUAUAUUCAUGCCAUACCUUUCUAAGUCGACAAAAGAGCCACGGUCGCCAGUGCGUAAAUCCGUUGGGAGGGAAAAGCGAAAAAAUUCCAUAGAAAAAUGUGUAUUCAAAAAUAAAGGGUGAAGAAGUUUAAAUACUCUGUAAAAUUAAGAAAAGUUAAUAAAAAUGUGAAAAUGUUCAAGGAUACUUUCAUGAUAAAGUCCAAUAUAUCUCUUCUGGCUUAAAAAAUAUUAACUUGUCAACGUAAAGACUAAAACCCUUAAUAAUAAAUACCCCUGUUGAU